GGGAGCGGUACGGCUGGGCGGGCUGAGGCGACGGCGGGGCGGGGGCUCGCCCCGCCGGGCGCUGCGGGCUGUGCUGUCUGUUAGGAGCCAUUCCUUAUCUCUCCUGGAAGACGGAGGGCGCGAAGCAAACCGCCGCCUUCCCACGGGGGUGCCGCAGCCCCGUGGCGGGGCGCGGGGCCGGUCGGGAGUGGCGCAGCGGCGGCCGCUGCGAGGCAGCCUGUGGUUUCCCACCUUCCUGACAGGAAAGCUGCAGGGUAAAUCAUCCUGCCCCUCCAGCAGCAGCGCUUUAUGAAGCGAGAGAUCUGGGCAUUGCACGAGUGACGCCAGGCAUCGCCCUUCGUUGCAGCUUCGUCACCGGCAGCGCGGCCGAGCGAGGCUGCUGCCCUCGAACACGCUGGGCCUCGUGAGUCCGUCCGCUGAGGAAAGCCCAAAGCGCCUGCCGCCUGUCCUGUGUCGUCUUCAAAGUGCAGGUGUGCCCAGUCAAGACCCAGUACGUGCUGCAGGAAUCCUCUGCCUGACUGCUAGAAAUAAAGGAACCGGAUAAAGCUACUGGAAUGAUAAAAAAUUUAUAUGGUUAAAUCAAGUUAAAAGGUCAAUGAUCGUUGAGAUGAACUCUUCCUGAAAGCUGAGCAGGAAGCAAUUCUGUGACCAUAAAAAUAAUUUCAUAGCAAAAUAAAGAGAAUGUAAAAGGAAAAUCAAAGUUUCUCUGCAGGUGGAAUGCAUCUUGUUCUUCAAGUGGCUCAACAGAUUAGCCAGGAGCAAAGCCAACAGCAAAGUGGACCAAACUUGGAAAAUGAGAUUCUGCAGCAAAUAACAGCACUGAGGAAAGAAGGUUUAUGAUCUCUGCAAUGUCCGCCCAAACUCCAAGAGGCCUCACGGCACAAAUCACACUAUGACUAUCUUUUGGAAGAAAUGCAGUGGAUGGCAACUGGUUUUGUUCAGGAAAGGAGAUGGAAGAUGAUAACUGCCGAGAGAGUAAUGGGAGUUUGAUUGUGGCUUGUCAUCAUGCGGAUAUGAUACUUUAUAAGGAAGGAUGCAAGGAAGGAGAAGUGACUGAGGGCUGUUGCUGCUUUUACUGCUAGAGAAACUGAUCGUUUCUCAUCCACCAUUAAACAGGUGGUAGGUUUAAAUCUGCAAGUAGAGUUAGAAGAGAGGAGAAAGAAAGCAUUAAACUCACAGAAGAUCGCAAAAAAAGUAGGUAACUAGGGUCCUAUUCUUGUUGUUUCAAAAAAAAUUAAUGUGCUGAAGUGGAAGAUCGAACUGAAAUGCUGGUGUACUGCUUUGAAAAUUCUUCUCUACCUUGGGAACCCAGGAGAACUUUUUAAAAAAAGAGAGGUAGUGCAGGCCUUUAUUUUGUGGAGGUCCAAAAUGCACGUUGAGAAGCAGUUACCAAGGAAAUACGAGCACGUGCUUGGAUGCGCUCUUUCUGAUCGGCAGAAGUCAAUGUAUAAAGACAUCUUGUCUCGACCAAGAACUCAAGAAUAUCUUAGAAGCAGGCACUUUGUCGGUGUCCUCCAUAUUCUGAUGCAGCUGCAAAGGGCGUGUAGUCAUCCUGAUCUGAUAAGUCCCCAGCUUCCACGUACUUCCUGUGUGUUGGACACGCUGGAGUUUACAACUGCUUCUCUAGUGUUGAAGGCAUUAGGAUGGGAUCUUUGGAAGCAUGUAGGCAGGUCUCUCAUGUGAUGGGGAUGGAAAACCGAACGACUUGCAACGAGGCGCAAAAACUGCCAAAACUGAAGGUAACUAGGAAGCUUAUUGAAGAGAUCUACUCUUCUCCUUCGUCCCCCAGACUUGAGCCAGUGAAGCUCAGACCAAAUAGUCAGCAAGAUAGUACUCUGCCCAGUGGCUUCUACAGCUGGGGCACAAGUGAGAGCUGCUCAGGCAGAGAAGCCUGUAACAUUACAGUUUAGAAGGAAAACAUGUACUUUGUCGUACAGUCAGUUCUGUGGCUUGUUGGUAGACAGUCUCUGAAGCAUCAAGAAUCCCCCUGUAUGGCUGAGACUUGUUGGAAAUUUGCUCUUGGAUCAGUGAAAGAGAAAUCUCUCAGCAUUGUUCUGCCAGGAUUAACAAAUGGUGCUGGGCUGGCUUUGCAAAUUGCCUUCCCAGUUCGAGUACUUCAGAGGUCCUAAAGGAUCCACUGCAAGAACUCCUUCCGACACUGAAGCAGCAUCAGGUCGCCCCGAAGGAUGUUGUUACUCGAGGUCUGCGCGUAUUGGCAGCUGUCACUGUUGCUACUCUGCAUUUCUGCGUAGCAAAUCCUCCUUACGCGUACACCCAGGAAAUGAAGAUCUUGAAGUUAAAUCUAAAGGAACAGAUUUUCCAUUCAAGGCAGCAGAUAGCAUUUUCUGCAGUUCCCAGAUCCCCGGCUGGUGCAGCGUGAACCAGGCAGGAUGGAAGCUCUGGCUGUCUUGCUUUGGAAGCUGAAAGAAAGAGGAUGUCGUGUAUUGAUUUUGACGCAGACGAUUCCAGUGCUUGAUGUAUGGGAGCUUUUCUUGAACUUCCGUUUUCUCGCGUACAUAAGAGUUAAUGAGAGUGGUGCUCGGAGUUGGCAUUAUCUGGUAAGAGGACCUCUUACUCAAGGUAAUAGUGAGCAGAUGCUCAUAACGGGAGGAAAAUGCUAAAGGGAAGUAUACUACAUUUGCAAAAUUCAUUUGCAUGAUUUCAUUAGUUAUUUAAGCAAAUUAUGUCUGUAGCUGUAGCACAAAAUAUGCCAUUACUUAUGAAAUAUGUCAGUCAUAUUACUAUUUGAUGAGGCAUCCGGGGUGUUUCCAGGAGGUAUGCCACUAGUUGUCCUACGUUUAUGAGUAAUUUGUGCUUGAAAUACAGAUGUUUUAUUUCACAACAGCGUUUUGAUAAAUUGCUUUUGCUUUCAUUAUCUGUAGCUGUCUACACUGUUAGUACUUUAAGUGCGGUUGCUGGUUUUGUGUUGGCACUUCCUCAGCCUUACUCCAGGGGCUUUUGUUUUUUGUAGAGUGCCCUGGCAUUGCCUGAGGAUAAAUUGAAAGUAUGCUCAUUUCCCUCCCCAGUAAGAUUCUUAGUAUCCUCUGGGGCCUACGAUUAGAGCAGACAUUAACAAUAUAGUUAAGUUAUUCUUUUCUUAUUUUUUUUUAAUUUCAAAUUGCAUUGCUCUGCUUUCCGUCAGAUGCAGUAUAAACCGUAAAGGGAUACCUUGCCUUAAAGCAACACAAGGCAGCACAAUAGGGGGGAUUCAAUUUAUUCAAUAGACAAGAAAAACGAUGAAGCGCGUGCAGAAUGUGAUAACCCAGUCAGGUGUGCUUAGUCAUAGGGCAUAAUGUGACUCCUGUGAUAGAUCCUCAGAUGUUUAUCUGGCUGACUGCACCAUAAAUUAAUGGUUUUAAUGGUACAGAAAAUAAUUUUGAAUUGUAUAGAUCUGUAAUGUGGGCAGAUAACUUCAAAGGUUUGCAAGCUUAAUGUAGGUUGGGGAAGUAAUAAGAAAGCUAUUUUUCUGAGCUUCUCAUUCUGUAAAAAAGUUCAGAGAUUCAUGCUUUAUUAAUGUGAAUUUGUAACUAAGUUGCUUGUCUCCCCAUUUUAGGAAUCCAUAAAAAACCCCAACCAAGACAAGCGAUUCUUCUGUGCUAUUCUUUCUUCCCACACUCCUUCCACAGAUGUCAGCCAUGUAGAUGCAGAUAUCAUUGUCUUCUGUGACACAGAUUUAGAUCUGCUGAUGGAUACAAAAGCUAAAGAGUGGUGUCAUAAAAUUGCAAGAGACAGAGAUAUUUGCAUAUAUAGGUGACUUUUAUGCUAAGAAAUAGUAUAGGUAUUUUAAAAUAAAAAAUAGAGGGAAGAUGUUUUUAGGUGAAAGGAUUUUUGGCUGAGGUAGUCCUUUUUAGUUCAAGUCAUUUGGUCUUUUAAGACCCUGUUAAAGAUUGGAUCAGUCAGGCAUACUUCCCUUCAGACUAAAGGGAAAAUAAAAUCCCUGCCCUGUCCUUUCCCUUACUGUAUCCUCUAUUCCUGCCUUUCCCUCCCACUUUCAGCUGGUGAGCCAUCUGGAUUUCUGUGCUGGGGCAGUCAAAACAAAGACUAAUAUCUGUGAGCAUUUCGUGCUCUUGAUAAACAAUAUAUGUCUUUCCUGAUGGUCUGUCACUGGAUUUCAGAUCCACUAGUGAUGAGAUGCUGAGCUUCAUGUAGUUCUAAGAUGUAUUUGGAAGUUUCUCUGCAGUGACUGUUUCUUCUCCUGGAAGGAUGUGCUAGGAACAGAGGGGAGCUCUUGCUCACCUUACGCCACUGGCCAAGUAUGCAUGGGUGGUGUCCGUUAGCGAAUACCUGGAUGUUGUAAGGAUCUUUUUAAAAUUCCCAUUGUAUAGAAGACACUACUGUUUAGUGUUCAUUUUGAAAAUAAGACCGUGAAAGAACCUGGUGUUUUGAAAAUACGAAAAAAGAUGUGAAAAGAGUGCAAAAAGAUGUAAAAAGAAACCUGUCCUCUAAGAAACUGGAAAAGAGUACAAAACUUCCUAUGAAAACACCUGACGGACUCUAAACGAGCGUGGGUGCUCACUGCCGUGGGCGAGAAACAUUAGAGGUGAAACACUUGGGUUUCAGAAAGUGCCACUGUUUUCUAGGGAACAGCGUUUAAUGAGUUUCUUUGUUUUACAGGCUUGUAAGUGGUAAUUCUGUUGAAGAGAGGCUGUUGAAAAAAGGUAUUAAACAUUUGAUUCAAGAAGUGGCUGCUCAAGGAAAUGAUUGUUCAACAGACUUUUUAACUCAGGUUCUUUGCUCUGAAUAUGGAAAAGAGGAUUCCAGAAAGUUUAUGGAAGAGACAUGGUCUGAGUUAAGAGGUGACAUAGAUUGAGUUGUAUGAUCCCUCACAGUUGGAACAGCUGGCUGGCUUUGGGGAUGAGCUUAAUCCCAUUGAAAAGUACGCGAUGAAUUCCGUGGAUUUGGUUCACACUUUGAAUGAUCAAAAAAGCCAGAAAGUCAACAAGGAGUUAAAAACUGCAAAUAUAAAAUGGGAGUAUCAGCAUGCCUAGGAGCUGGGAAAGGCAGAAGAAAAAUUUCAGCAGGAAAUGAAAGAGGAACUCUCAACCUAUACCAGACAAGAUGCUUAUAACAUGGUAACAUCAAGGGAUCUCCAAAUCCCUUCUUUUCGAAGAAUUUGCAUAUUGUGACUGUAAGCCCUGUAUUGAAGUGCGUCUGUUGGGUUUGUGUUGUGCUGGUCUUGUGCCCUCGCCCAAGCAGUGUACUCUUGGCAUUGAAGCUGGCGCUCUGGGGAGAGGUUUGGUUCUGUUGAGUAGCAAGUUGCUGUUCAGCAGGAGGGGUGUAGGUUUGUAGGUCGACUUGGAAUUGCACAGUUAUGUAUCAAGGUAAUAACUGGAGGAAGAGACUGAGAAAAAUAAGCUGCCUUUUGAAAAUGAAGAUUAAUUCCUUAAAAUAAAUUUUUUUUCUAACUACUGUUUAUCAUAGUUAUUGCAAACGGGCUUAUGUUUCUAAAUGCUGGGUUCUAGGCUGGCUGAUGUAUUGAGGUAUCAAAAAUUCCUUUUUUCUCAUACAGGUAUUGGUCUGCAAAGGCCCAGAUGGAGAAAUAUUUAAUUUAAUGCCUGUAAGUCAGUAGCCAUUUAUUUCACCUGAAGGAAACCUUGCCUAAAAUACUUUAAUUAAUGGCAAACUGCGGGUUGUUUAUUGAUGUUUUGUGUUGGGUUUUGGUUUUUUUUUUUUAAGCUUUGGGCUCCUCCUGUUGUACCUGAGAACCAUGAUGAUGAUUUAUUGAUUCCAUUAUGUGUCUGAUGUAUCUAUAACCCCGAUUCCAGAGUCUAAGCUUCCACCUCUGUUUGUCAGGAGGGCGUUAAGCAGCAGAGAACAGAUCUGUCCUGUAAGUUGGAUUCAUAAUUGCAUGGGGAGGUGCGGUAACAUUUUUGUGUGAAACAAUAUGAAAACUCAUUUGCAAGAAUAUCUUUAAGUUUGUGUUUAAAAAUUUAGGCAUCCGUGUACUGUUAUCUCUGUUAAGCUUGAAAUCGCUCAGGCAAAAUGAUUGAAUGUAGAGUGAGAGCAGAGGGAGUGCACUGUGAAAACAUGCUGUUGUCCUUACGAAUUAGGAAUAGAAACACGGGUGAAUUAAAUGAGCAGGAGUUAAAGCAGUGAGACUUGUGUGUGCCCAUUUGAUCUGUUUUUAAGCUUAUUUUCUUAGUGAAGCGAGAAGCUGUUUAAAAAUGACUGAUUAAGUCAAAUACUGCACUAGGAUGAUCUGCAGCCAUCAGCUUUCUGUCAUGAUCUUGUUGCACGGGGUUCCUUUCUCACUGGAGAUAACAACUUCGUCCUGUCAAUUAGCUUCGGGUGAGAGAAAGAAGCGUUGCCACAGAAGGAUGUCUGUUCUGCCGCCCUCACUUUUCAAUCAAGUGACUCCAAGAAUAUUGAAAAGACGGCAGAAAAGCAAAGCUCAGAAGACCCUCCUUUUGGUAAAACAGCAAACAUAUUUUGGCAGACCUUUGUCAGCCCUCAUCAAGUCAGUGGCUGACACUGUUUCUAGUCUUGUGGGGCCAGUUGCUGAAGACUCGGCCCUGUUGAAAGCAAGCUGGUACUUUGUUUUUAUUGACUUCAGAAACUUUUUACUUGGAAGUUUAUUACAGCAUCCAUAGACCUUGCUUAAUACAGGAUUAUACAUGCUUGUGCGCACAAGAAAAGCAUUUAAUUGGAACAUUACACUGGUUUGAUUUCUCUCCGCCUCCUAGGCGGUGAAACAGUUACAGGCACUUCCUUUAAAACUUGCUAUUGUGUCACCAGGACAGACAGCAAACCAGGACUUUGUCAGCAAUGUCGUUAACGCUUGUAACUAUGUCUGCUGCUCCCCAAAGCAAUGCCAAAAUCAUUACCUAACAGCACCUGCAGGUCCUGAGGGCAAGGUGAGUUUAAGUUGAAAUGUGCAUUACAUUAUAAAGACUUGUGAUUUCUUUGUUUGGUUGUUUUGGUUUUUUUUUAACUCCUCAUUGCUCUUAGUGGACCACAUGAGUGUGUAGUAAGCAUAAGCAGAGUCAUGACUAUAUUUUAGAAUUUUGAAUAGCUUGGUAUACAGGUGAAUGCUAGUAAAUAUCUUCCCAUCAGUAUGACUGCUAUAGGUUGUAUUUAUUAUAGUUUCCAUACACUUAAGAAUAUGAAUUUCCCGGAUACCGUGACAAUGAAAUGACCUUGGAUGUAUCACAUUGCCUUAUCAGUAUAUUAAAAAUAAGGAAGGGGAGCUGUCUAUUUUAACUGCUGUUUAAGUGGGAGGUUAUGAAUUGUCUUCAGUCAAGACUAUUAUAAACUGAUUUUUGAGGGAGGGCACUUUUGACUACUUAUUUUUGGUACCUAAGCCUUCAAUUUCUAGUUAUUCCAGAAUGUAGGUGGUUAUCGUCUGUGUGUUAGACAAGCCUAUGUGAAAGACCAGAAUUUCUGAGUGUACUCAAAUCUCUAUGAACCACUUUGAGUUGAUGACAACUGCUAGAAAAAGAGGUUCCUCAGAUAGGUUUCUGUACGUUUACUUCUACUGUCCGUGAUGACUUUUUUCCCAGAUUUGACAUUUAAGCAGUUUCGUGGCCUGAUUUGGUGAUUUUUUUUUUUUUUUUUUUCUCUUAAGCAUGUACUUCACAGCAGCAUUUCUCAUCAGAGGUGCUGUGGUGACCUUCAGCCUUAAGCUAAAGCAGUGCAUGUGCCGUCACUGAGCCACCCCUGUGCUUGUGCUGGUGUAAAGAAAAGCUUGAAGUGCUUCAGAGCAGACAACUAUGACAGCAUGACACCCAUGUCUGAAGUUGUUUCCAUCUGUGCAGAGACUGCGAUGAUGCAGGAAAAGGCAUUGACAGAAGAACAAAUAGUUGCACAGCUGUGGGAGCAACAGCCUAGUCGGGAGCAAGAACAGGAGCAAAGGGUGGUGCAAAUCCAAACCCAGUGUCAAUCACAGGGGGGGAACAGUGAUGAGAAGUAAAAACAUGAUUGCCAUGUGGUGCGUGAAUUCAGUUCACUCCUGCAGUUGCAGGCAGAGAAAUCUGUUCGUCCUGGCUAAAUGAAUCUGUAAGCCCGGAUUCACGAGCGCUUAGGGCGUCUGUUUUGUCUUCACUGAGGCUGCGUGUAGGACUCCCAGCAAAUCUGGAGAAUCCGGGGUGUUGAAUAACAGAAGCAUCUUGUUUCACCUGAGCUGAGGUGAAUGGACUUAAACGUUACCAAAAGUACAGUCUUGUUGUUCAAGGACAUAAGAAUAGUGUUCAAAGAAUAAUUAUAGACAAGCUCCUUCUUAAAGAUAGAGAACUUUGGGCUUCAUCCCAGAGUGGGUUUUAUGACGCUGAAAUAGGAUUUCCACAUAUGGAGAGGAACAGAGGUCAUUUUAUGGUACUAAUAUAGUUGUACUUGUUCAAUGUAUUUCUCUCCCUCACGGGAAGAAUUUUGUAAAACUUCAUGCCCUCUUUCGCGAUCUCUUCAGAACACUUGUAGAUGUUAAAAAUACAAGUUUAUUUUAUGGCGCUUUCAGGCUUCAGGAGGUACCCCCUCCCCAGCCGUAGCGGUGUUACAGCGGGUGUUCGUGGUACCGGCUGCUCCAGCGCAGCGGGAGCCCACACGCCUUGCACGUUUUUUCAAGCAGAAGCAUCCGACAGCCUCAAUUGUAACCAUCGCACUGAUGAUGACUGUGCCGAUGGAGACGCUUUCGAUGACUCAUUUACCUCCGGUAAAGUUUUACUUUUUAUUUUCAGUUUACAUUUUGCUAUUGAAAACAAAUCUUCAGUGCAGCACUGCUCACUUUAAGAUUUACUGACAAGUGAAAAUGAUGGGAGAACAGCCUUUCAGUGAGUCCUUUCCACUUUAGAAAACAGUAUAGCCCCAGAUGCUGUAUUAUUUAAGUGUAAUUAUAUUUAA